CACAGAUGAGAAGCUGUUUUUUCCGGUAUGGUCUUGGCGGCAUUACAGCCAGGGAGAUGUAGCUACCGGUUAGGCGCUGUUCAGGGCUUAAAUGCCAGACGAUCCAUCAGCUCUGAGUAGAUGUGUUUUGUAAAUACUGUAAUGUGUGGACCAGUGGCGCAACAAUAUUUUUGUUUUUUGCGCUUGACUGAAUCUGGGGGACGACGUGCUCGGGAAUGCGUGCGGAUCGCGAGAUUGAGAACAAACAGCCCCGGUGAAUGGAAGCUUUGUGCUGCCCACCGCAAGCCCGAGAACAAAAGACUAUGGCCACUGAGUUCGGACACAGAAGCACGGUCAUGCAGAAAUCAUGAGACCGACACAGUGGGUGGUAAAACAACAGAAACUGUGAAAUGAGAACAGGAACCAGUCACCAAGUGCAGCAGACGGAUUCUCAGAAGUGUGAUCAUACAGUGAGAGCCGACCACUGACUUCCAUUUGCAUCCUCCAUCCUGCACGAAACCCUAGAGGUCAUGCCUAUUAAACCCUGCCCGUUCUCAUAGAGGUCAUGCCUAUUAAACCCUGCCCGUUCUCAUAGAGGUCAUGCCUAUUAAACCCUGCCUGUUCUCAUAGGGGUCAUGCCUAUUAAACCCUGCCUG
ensembl:lncRNA